rnacentral:rRNA from 1 species
UUAAGCGACUAAGCGUACACGGUGGAUGCCCUGGCAGUCAGAGGCGAUGAAGGACGUGCUAAUCUGCGAAAAGCGUCGGUAAGGUGAUAUGAACCGUUAUAACCGGCGAUGUCCGAAUGGGGAAACCCAGUGUGAUUCGUCACACUAUCGUUAACUGAAUACAUAGGUUAACGAGGCGAACCGGGGGAACUGAAACAUCUAAGUACCCCGAGGAAGAGAAAUCAACCGAGAUUCCCCCAGUAGCGGCGAGCGAACGGGGAGCAGCCCAGAGUCUGAAUCAGCUUGUGUGUUAGUGGAACGGUCUGGAAAGUCCGACGGUACAGGGUGAUAGUCCCGUACACCAAAAUGCACAGGUUGUGAACUCGAAGAGUAGGGCGGGACACGUGGUAUCCUGUCUGAAUAUGGGGGGACCAUCCUCCAAGGCUAAAUACUCCUGACUGACCGAUAGUGAACCAGUACCGUGAGGGAAAGGCGAAAAGAACCCCGGCGAGGGGAGUGAAAAAGAACCUGAAACCGUGUACGUACAAGCAGUGGGAGCACCUUCGGGUGUGACUGCGUACCUUUUGUAUAAUGGGUCAGCGACUUAUAUUCUGUAGCAAGGUUAACCGUAUAGGGGAGCCGCAGGGAAACCGAGUCUUAACUGGGCGUUAAGUUGCAGGGUAUAGACCCGAAACCCGGUGAUCUAGCCAUGGGCAGGUUGAAGGUUGGGUAACACUAACUGGAGGACCGAACCGACUAAUGUUGAAAAAUUAGCGGAUGACUUGUGGCUGGGGGUGAAAGGCCAAUCAAACCGGGAGAUAGCUGGUUCUCCCCGAAAGCUAUUUAGGUAGCGCCUCGUGAAUUCAUCUUCGGGGGUAGAGCACUGUUUCGGCUAGGGGGUCAUCCCGACUUACCAACCCGAUGCAAACUACGAAUACCGAAGAAUGUUAUCACGGGAGACACACGGCGGGUGCUAACGUCCGUCGUGAAGAGGGAAACAACCCAGACCGCCAGCUAAGGUCCCAAAGUCAUGGUUAAGUGGGAAACGAUGUGGGAAGGCACAGACAGCCAGGAUGUUGGCUUAGAAGCAGCCAUCAUUUAAAGAAAGCGUAAUAGCUCACUGGUCGAGUCGGCCUGCGCGGAAGAUGUAACGGGGCUAAACCAUGCACCGAAGCUGCGGCAGCGACACUAUGUGUUGUUGGGUAGGGGAGCGUUCUGUAAGCCUGCGAAGGUGGCCUGUGAGGGUUGCUGGAGGUAUCAGAAGUGCGAAUGCUGACAUAAGUAACGAUAAAGCGGGUGAAAAGCCCGCUCGCCGGAAGACCAAGGGUUCCUGUCCAACGUUAAUCGGGGCAGGGUGAGUCGACCCCUAAGGCGAGGCCGAAAGGCGUAGUCGAUGGGAAACAGGUUAAUAUUCCUGUACUUGGUGUUACUGCGAAGGGGGGACGGAGAAGGCUAUGUUAGCCGGGCGACGGUUGUCCCGGUUUAAGCAUGUAGGCUGGUUAUCCAGGCAAAUCCGGAUAAUCAAGGCUGAGGUGUGAUGACGAGGCACUACGGUGCUGAAGUAACAAAUGCCCUGCUUCCAGGAAAAGCCUCUAAGCAUCAGGUAACAUUAAAUCGUACCCCAAACCGACACAGGUGGUCAGGUAGAGAAUACCAAGGCGCUUGAGAGAACUCGGGUGAAGGAACUAGGCAAAAUGGUGCCGUAACUUCGGGAGAAGGCACGCUGGUGUGUAGGUGAAGUCCCUGCGGAUGGAGCUGAGACCAGUCGAAGAUACCAGCUGGCUGCAACUGUUUAUUAAAAACACAGCACUGUGCAAACACGAAAGUGGACGUAUACGGUGUGACGCCUGCCCGGUGCCGGAAGGUUAAUUGAUGGGGUUAUCCGUAAGGAGAAGCUCUUGAUCGAAGCCCCGGUAAACGGCGGCCGUAACUAUAACGGUCCUAAGGUAGCGAAAUUCCUUGUCGGGUAAGUUCCGACCUGCACGAAUGGCGUAAUGAUGGCCAGGCUGUCUCCACCCGAGACUCAGUGAAAUUGAACUCGCUGUGAAGAUGCAGUGUACCCGCGGCAAGACGGAAAGACCCCGUGAACCUUUACUAUAGCUUGACACUGAACAUUGAGCCUUGAUGUGUAGGAUAGGUGGGAGGCUUUGAAGCGUGGACGCCAGUCUGCGUGGAGCCAACCUUGAAAUACCACCCUUUAAUGUUUGAUGUUCUAACGUUGGCCCCUGACCGGGGUUGCGGACAGUGUCUGGUGGGUAGUUUGACUGGGGCGGUCUCCUCCCAAAGCGUAACGGAGGAGCACGAAGGUUAGCUAAUCCUGGUCGGACAUCAGGAGGUUAGUGCAAUGGCAUAAGCUAGCUUGACUGCGAGCGUGACGGCGCGAGCAGGUGCGAAAGCAGGUCAUAGUGAUCCGGUGGUUCUGAAUGGAAGGGCCAUCGCUCAACGGAUAAAAGGUACUCCGGGGAUAACAGGCUGAUACCGCCCAAGAGUUCAUAUCGACGGCGGUGUUUGGCACCUCGAUGUCGGCUCAUCACAUCCUGGGGCUGAAGUAGGUCCCAAGGGUAUGGCUGUUCGCCAUUUAAAGUGGUACGCGAGCUGGGUUUAGAACGUCGUGAGACAGUUCGGUCCCUAUCUGCCGUGGGCGCUGGAGAAUUGAGGGGGGCUGCUCCUAGUACGAGAGGACCGGAGUGGACGCAUCACUGGUGUUCGGGUUGUCAUGCCAAUGGCACUGCCCGGUAGCUAAAUGCGGAAGAGAUAAGUGCUGAAAGCAUCUAAGCACGAAACUUGCCCCGAGAUGAGUUCUCCCUGAAACUUUAAGUCUCCUGAAGGAACGUUGAAGACGACGACGUUGAUAGGCCGGGUGUGUAAGCGCAGCGAUGCGUUGAGCUAACCGGUACUAAUGAACCGUGAGGCUUAACCUU